rnacentral:rRNA from 1 species
AUUGAACGCUGGCGGCAGGCUUAACACAUGCAAGUCGAACGAGUGGCGGACGGGUGAGUAAUGCUUGGGAAUCUUCCUUAUGGAGGGGGAUAACUACUGGAAACUGUAGCUAAUACCGCGUACCAUCGGAUGUGCCCAAGUGGGAUUAGCUAGUUGGUGGGGUAAUGGCUCACCUAGCCGACGAUCCCUAGCUGGUCUGAGAGGCUGACCAGCCACACUGGAACUGAGACACGGCCCAGACUCCUACGGGAGGCAGCAGUGGGGAAUAUUGCGCAAUGGGCGCAAGCCUGAUGCAGCCAUGCCGCGUGUAUGAAGAAGGCCUUCGGGUUGUAAAGUACUUUCAGCGAGGAGGCGUUACUCGCAGAAGAAGCACCGGCUAACUCCGUGCCAGCAGCCGCGGUAAUAC